rnacentral:rRNA from 1 species
UACGUAGGUGGCAAGCGUUGUCCGGAUUUAUUGGGUUUAAAGGGUGCGUAGGCGGCCCUGUAAGUCAGUUGUGAAAUACGGCAGCUUAACUGUCGAGGUGCAAUUGAUACUGCAGGGCUUGAGUACUGAUGAGGUAGGCGGAAUUGACGGUGUAGCGGUGAAAUGCUUAGAUAUCGUCAAGAACACCGAUAGCGAAGGCAGCUUACUGGGCUGUAACUGACGCUGAGGCACGAAAGUGUGGGGAUCAAACAGG